UGGGGAAUAUUGCACAAUGGGCGCAAGCCUGAUGCAGCCAUGCCGCGUGUAUGAAGAAGGCCUUCGGGUUGUAAAGUACUUUCAGCGGGGAGGAAGGUGUUGUGGUUAAUAACCUCAGCAAUUGGCGUUACCCGCAGAAGAAGCACCGGCUAACUCCGUGCCAGCAGCCGCGGUAAUACGGAGGGUGCAAGCGUUAAUCGGAAUUACUGGGCGUAAAGCGCACGCAGGCGGUCUGUCAAGUCGGAUGUGAAAUCCCCGGGCUCAACCUGGGAACUGCAUCCGAAACUGGCAGGCUUGAGUCUUGUAGAGGGGGGUAGAAUUCCAGGUGUAGCGGUGAAAUGCGUAGAGAUCUGGAGGAAUACCGGUGGCGAAGGCGGCCCCCUGGACAAAGACUGACGCUCAGGUGCGAAAGCGUGGGGAGCAAACA
rnacentral:rRNA from 1 species